UGGAACAAGUAGAAGCACCCGCUUCUCACCUGAUGGACGCAUUCGCAGUUAACAGGUAAAUGUAUUUCUUACUUAAGAUUUUACAAGUGUGGGUGUCGUAUGCCCGCACUUUUUUUGUUCG
rfam:Bacillus cereus ATCC 14579, complete genome.